rnacentral:rRNA from 1 species
GUCAUAAAUCAUNANUAUUAAUUCAUGACUCUUUCUUNCCGACUNAAAGAGCUUUACAACCCGAAGGCCUUCUUCACUCACGCGGCAUGGCUGGAUCAGGCUUNCGCCCAUUGUCCAAAAUUCCCCACUGCUGCCUCCCGUAGGAGUCUGGGCCGUGUCUCAGUCCCAGUGUGGCUGGUCGUCCUCUCAGACCAACUACUGAUCGUCGCCUUGGUAAGCCNUUACCCCACCAACUAGCUAAUCAGACAUCGGCCGCUCCUUUAGCANNAGGUCUUUCGAUCCCCUACUUUCCUCCCCCCGUGCCCCCGCC